rnacentral:rRNA from 1 species
GAUGAACGCUAGCUACAGGCUUAACACAUGCAAGUCGAGGGGCAGCAUGACCUAGCAAUAGGUUGAUGGCGACCGGCGCACGGGUGAGUAACACGUAUCCAACCUACCGGUUAUUCCGGGAUAGCCUUUCGAAAGAAAGAUUAAUACCGGAUAGUAUAACGAGAAGGCAUCUUCUUGUUAUUAAAGAAUUUCGAUAACCGAUGGGGAUGCGUUCCAUUAGUUUGUUGGCGGGGUAACGGCCCACCAAGACAUCGAUGGAUAGGGGUUCUGAGAGGAAGGUCCCCCACAUUGGAACUGAGACACGGUCCAAACUCCUACGGGAGGCAGCAGUGAGGAAUAUUGGUCAAUGGACGAGAGUCUGAACCAGCCAAGUAGCGUGAAGGAUGACUGCCCUAUGGGUUGUAAACUUCUUUUAUAUGGGAAUAAAGUGAGCCACGUGUGGCUUUUUGUAUGUACCAUACGAAUAAGGA